AGGGAAUUAAUAAAUUGUAUGUAUUUUGAAAUAAGAAUGAAAGUGUGGUAACAGUGUGGCAACAGUUUGAAGUUUGAAGAGGUAUUAUUGAAGAGGUUAACCUUUUUGAUAUUGCAUUGCGUUAACAGGAAAAGUUAUAAUGGCUGCUGCAUGGUGGGUCUUGCAGAUUGCCAAUGAAGAAGAAAGAAAUUUGUUAAAAAUUCGAAGGAAACAACUGCGUGAUGCAUCAAAUCCUUUUGAAGUUCCGGACUCGCAGUUUCUUUCUUUAUAUCGACUUUCAAAAGAUGCUGUAAUGAUAUUGUGUCAAGGUAUACAACCUUACGUGCAAAGAGCUGUAAGACCAACAGCAAUUCCGUUUGAAUUAAAGGUUUUAGCAACAUUAAGUUUCUUGAGUUCGGGGUCUUACCAAAAAAGAGUUGGACAAGACUUUUUAAGCUGUAUGUGUCAGGCAUCUGUUAGUGGAGUACUACAUGAAAUUAUAAAUGCAAUAAAUAUUAUUAUGCCGCAAUGGAUUUCCUGUGCAAGCUAAUGAAAUUGAAGCAAUCCAACAACAAUUCUGGAUUAACACCAAUUUCCCAGGUGUAAUAGGAGCUGUAGAUGGUACACAUAUAGCGAUUACGCCACCUGCUAAAAUAAGAGAGCAUUUAUAUAUAAAUAGAAAAUUAUAUCAUUCAUUAAAUGUUAUGAUAGUUAGUGAUUAUUAUGGCAAAAUAUUAGCUGUAUUGGCAAAUCAUGGAGGUCGGACACAUGAUGCUAGAGUUUGGAGCUCGUCUCGGUUAUCGAGGCACAUGUUAAACGAAUAUG
rnacentral:lncRNA from 13 species